GAUGAACGCUGGCGGCGUGCUUAACACAUGCAAGUCGAACGGAACUUAUCUUAACAGAGACUUCGGUCGAAGUAAUUAUAAGUUUAGUGGCGGACGGGUGAGUAACGCGUGGGCAACCUGCCUUGUACUGGGGGAUAACAUUCAGAAAUGGGUGCUAAUACCGCAUAAGCGCACAGGACCGCAUGGUCCGGUGUGAAAAACUCCGGUGGUACAAGAUGGACCCGCGUUGGAUUAGCUAGUUGGUGAGGCAGUGGCUCACCAAGGCGACGAUCCAUAGCCGGCCUGAGAGGGUGAACGGCCACAUUGGGACUGAGACACGGCCCAGACUCCUACGGGAGGCAGCAGUGGGGAAUAUUGCACAAUGGGGGAAACCCUGAUGCAGCGACGCCGCGUGAAGGAAGAAGUAUCUCGGUAUGUAAACUUCUAUCAGCAGGGAAGACAAUGACGGUACCUGACUAAGAAGCCCCGGCUAACUACGUGCCAGCCGCCGCCGUAACAC
rnacentral:rRNA from 1 species